GCACUGCUGAGGAGUCCCAUACUAGGACGAAACGGCCGUCAUAUGC
rfam:Schistosoma margrebowiei strain Zambia genome assembly, scaffold: SMRZ_scaffold0002736